rnacentral:rRNA from 1 species
AUGCACGCUGGCGGCGUGCCUAAUACAUGCCAGUCGAGCGAACAGACGAGGAGCUUUCUCCUCUGACGUUAGCGGCGGACGGGUGAGUAACACGUGGAUAACCUACCUAUAAGACUGGGAUAACUUCGGGAAACCGGAGCUAAUACCGGAUAAUAUAUUGAACCGCAUGGUUCAAUAGUGAAAGACGGUUUUGCUGUCACUUAUAGAUGGAUCCGCGCCGCAUUAGCUAGUUGGUAAGGUAACGGCUUACCAAGGCAACGAUGCGUAGCCGACCUGAGAGGGUGAUCGGCCACACUGGAACUGAGACACGGUCCAGACUCCUACGGGAGGCAGCAGUAGGGAAUCUUCCGCAAUGGGCGAAAGCCUGACGGAGCAACGCCGCGUGAGUGAUGAAGGUCUUCGGAUCGUAAAACUCUGUUAUUAGGGAAGAACAAAUGUGUAAGUAACUAUGCACGUCUUGACGGUACCUAAUCAGAAAGCCACGGCUAACUACGUG